AUUUAAGUAGCUUAUUAAUAGAGCGAGGUACUGAAGAUACCUAGGAGGUGUUAACUCUUAAAUA
rnacentral:tRNA from 1 species